AUGCUCCCCCAGAUGCGCCCCCUCCCUUCCAGCCCAGCCAUCCACGCCGUCCACCGGCGCACCUCCCCCGCGCCGCCCUCUAUCCGCGGACUUGGGCAGCAUGGCCGAGUGGCCCUCGUGAGGACGACGGCGCCCGUGGUAUGCCGCUCCGUCGCCAGCCCGGCAGCGAAUCAGGGGGCGCCAGCGGUGGAGAGGCCUUGGAAGCUUAGCGACGCUCGCCUCGUUCUCGAGGACGGCUCCGUGUGGAAUGCCAAAUCCUUCGGUGCUUCCGGGACUCAAGUCGGCGAGGUGGUUUUCAAUACCUCAUUGACAGGGUACCAGGAGAUUUUGACUGAUCCUAGCUAUGCUGGUCAGUUUGUUUUGAUGACCAACCCUCAUAUUGGAAACACCGGCGUUAACUCUGGUGACGAAGAAUCCAUAAAAUGCUUCCUUGGUGGCUUAAUCGUACGAAGCCUAAGUAUAUGUACUUCCAACUGGAGGUGCACAGAAACACUUGAUGAAUAUUUGAGAAAGAGGAACAUUAUGGGCAUAUAUGAUGUGGACACACGUGCAAUUACACGCAGGUUAAGAGAAGACGGCAGUCUCAUUGGUGUUCUGAGUACCGACCAGUCUCUCAAAGACAAGGAAUUGUUGGAAAUGGCCAAAAAUUGGAAAAUUGUUGGUGUUGAUUUGAUAAGUGAUGUUACAUGUGAUGCUCCAUAUGAAUGGGUAGACAAGACUGGUUCAGGAUGGGAGUUCAACGACAAUCAGUCAAGUGAAACUUUUCAUGUCGUUGUGUAUGAUUUUGGAGUCAAGCAUAACAUUUUGAGACGCCUGGCAUCAUAUGGAUGCAAAAUAACUGUUGUUCCAGCAAGCUGGCCUGCUUCAGAUGUACUUAAUUUGAAGCCUGAUGGUGUUCUUUUUAGUAAUGGCCCUGGUGACCCAGCUGCAGUUCCAUAUGCUGUGAAAACAGUACAAGAGAUAGUAGGGAAGGUUCCAGUAUUUGGUAUCUGCAUGGGCCAUCAAUUGAUUGGGCAGGCUCUUGGUGGAAAGACAUUUAAAAUGAAAUUUGGUCAUCACGGAGGAAACCAUCCAGUUCGUGACAACAGGACCGGACGUGUAGACAUCAGUGCACAGAACCAUAACUAUGCUGUGGACCCAGAAUCGCUCCCGGAAGGAGUGCAAGUUACACACAUCAACCUAAAUGACCAGAGCUGUGCUGGUCUUGUGUUCCCCAAGAUGAAGCUUAUGUCUCUCCAGUACCAUCCCGAGUCCUCUCCGGGUCCACAUGACUCAGACUUGGCGUUUGGUGAAUUUGUGGAGCUGAUGAAGAACAACAGAUUGUGA
rnacentral:rRNA from 1 species